UGGUGUGACCUGGCUUCCUCCAGUUGU
rnacentral:piRNA from 1 species